GGAGGAAACCGAUAUCUUGUAUGACAUACUUAAUGUAUGUUAAGGGGAGGGACUUAUGGUAGAGGAUGAGUUGAACAGCAGUUGAACAGCAGCACAGGACAUUUAAAACAGGAGGCUGCUUAGAUCUUUCUUUCAGUUUGUUUCUCUUCAUCUAAGAUGCAGUUGCUGUAUUCAGCAUUGUUCCUGACCAUAUUUAUGGGUGUCAGUUGUGAGGACCUCACUCCACUCAAGAAAGAAGAGUACUGUUUAGAGGGAACCCCUGUUACCCUGUCUUACAACUACUCCAGAACAGCUACUGCUGGAGAUGAAUUCCAUUGGUAUCGACAGGACACAGCACAAAGGCCAGAGUUCCUCCUGUACAUCUUGGGUUCAGGGUUUAUAAAUAAAGCAGAUUCUCUGAACACUCGAAUAUCUGCAAAACUGAACAAAGAGAAAAACCGUUUGGAUCUGGAGAUCUCCUCUGCUCUAGUGACAGACUCUGCUCUGUACUACUGUGCUGUGAGGCCCACAGUGACAGGAAACCUACACACACUGUACAAAAACCUCAGCAGGGACCACAUCAACAGGAAUGCAUCUAGUUUUUCUAUGUGA